rnacentral:rRNA from 1 species
AUUGAACGCUGGCGGCAGGCCUAACACAUGCAAGUCGAACGGUAACAGGAAGAAGCUUGCUUCUUUGCUGACGAGUGGCGGACGGGUGAGUAAUGUCUGGGAAACUGCCUGAUGGAGGGGGAUAACUACUGGAAACGGUAGCUAAUACCGCAUAACGUCGCAAGACCAAAGAGGGGGACCUUCGGGCCUCUUGCCAUCGGAUGUGCCCAGAUGGGAUUAGCUAGUAGGUGGGGUAACGGCUCACCUAGGCGACGAUCCCUAGCUGGUCUGAGAGGAUGGCCAGCCACACUGGAACUGAGACACGGUCCAGACUCCUACGGGAGGCAGCAGUGGGGAAUAUUGCACAAUGGGCGCAAGCCUGAUGCAGCCAUGCCGCGUGUAUGAAGAAGGCCUUCGGGUUGUAAAGUACUUUCAGCGGGGAGGAAGGGAGUAAAGUUAAUACCUUUGCUCAUUGGCGUUACCCGCAGAAGAAGCACCGGCUAACUCCGUG